CUUAGGGGUGUCCCAAUUGGGACUGAGAUGAGACCCUUAGAACCUGCUCCAGCUCAUACUGGCGAAGGGAAAGCGUGAUG
rnacentral:ncRNA from 1 species